rnacentral:misc_RNA from 1 species
CAGCGUUGUGUCGAAACCAAAUGGGUUUCCCACAAAAGACGGAAAUUUGCAUAUUUGCAGGGCAGAGGCUGUGGCUGCUGCUGAUGGGCAACCUUUAUUUUGNNNNNNNNNNGAAGCCUAAGCUCUUGGGUAUUGAGCUUUCGACUCUUAAGAAAAUUAUCCCACUGGGAUUGAUGUUCUUUUGUAUUCUUUUUAAUUACACAAUCCUCAGAGACACAAAAGAUGUGUUGGUCGUGACGGCUAAAGGGAGUAGUGCAGAGAUUAUACCAUUUCUGAAAACUUGGGUGAAUUUGCCUAUGGCUAUUGGAUUUAUGUUGUUGUACACACAAUUGGCUAACGUUUUGUCUAAGCAGGCUCUCUUU